GGCCAGACUCCUACGGGAGGCAGCAGUGAGGAAUAUUGGUCAAUGGGCUUACGCCUGAACCAGCCAAGUCGCGUGAGGGAAGACUGCCCUAUGGGUUGUAAACCUCUUUUGUCAGGGAGCAACGCCGGCUACGUGUAGCCGGACUGAGAGUACCUGAAGAAAAAGCAUCGGCUAACUCCGUGCCAGCAGCCGCGGUAAUACGGAGGAUGCGAGCGUUAUCCGGAUUUAUUGGGUUUAAAGGGUGCGUGGGCGGAAUGCCAAGUCAGCGGUAAAAUCGCGGGGCUCAACCCCGCCCAGCCGUCGGAACUGCCGGGCUAGAGUGGGCGAGAAGUGCGCGGAAUGCGUGGUGUAGCGGUGAAAUGCAUAGAUAUCACGCAGAACUCCGAUUGCGAAGGCAGCAUGCCGGCUCCACACUGACGCUGAGGCACGAAAGCGUGGGUAUCGAACAGGAUUAGAUACCCCCGUA
rnacentral:rRNA from 1 species